UUCUGGUGUUUGCCAUUCAUGUGAACUGUGUCAUGUGGGCCUCUACUUAUUUGAAGUUACUGGUUUUCUCUGGUGCUAGAACCCAACUACCUUUUAUCUCCCCAGGGUUUCUCACAGUCUUAUAUUAGGUUCCAGGACCUACCAUCCCUGUUCCUUCUGAGACUUCACCUGGUUUGGGUUUAGAGGAGGAAAAUUGACCUAAUAAGCCAAUUCUAGAUCACCAUUAAUUUGGAAACAUUCAUUGUCCAUUGUGUGUGUGUGUGUGUGUGUGUGUGUGUGUGUGGUGUGUAAACAUUAAAUUUGAAUCUCCUUGGCUGAUCUUAUUUUUUAUUUGAGCUGUGUUUUUCACUCCAUUUCAAUUCUACUUCAAAAGGAGUCAGCUGUUUUGAGUGUUCUGAUUAUGUUCUGCAUUCUUCUGAAUCCCCUUAGAUGUGUUGUUUUCUUCUGUCUAGGUAUUGGGUCUCAGGUCCAGCUGCUGGGAUGCAAUAAACAGCAACAAUCCAAUUAUUGAGGAUAAAUAUAGGAGCCAGUUGGUUUGCCAAGUCAUCCUCCCCUCUCAAGGUAAGGAAGGGAAAAGAAAGCAGGAAACAUUGGAAAGAUACAUGGAGUCUUUCCUAUGAAGAGAGAUUUAGACCACUGAUUGACAUUCAUACCUGUGGAAGUGAAGUGUCAGUCCUGGAAGAACUGAAGGCAUUUACACACCAGGAAAUGGUUACCUCAAUUUACUGGAUCUGGAUUAAUUCCUAACCGUAAGUUCUUUCAGACAUUUUUUUUUGUUUUAUUUUUACUAUUGAAGAAAACUGAAAAGUGAAAUUCCAUUUAUAGAAUUCCACUUCAUAAUAAAUUUAGGAGAACAUGAAUGCCUU
rnacentral:lncRNA from 1 species